CCCAGGAGGGGCUGCCCUCACCAUCUCACUCCUCUGGGAUCCUCCUCUUCCCUGACCCUGAUUUGUGUCUGUCAUGAUGCUUUCAGUUUACCCAGGUGGCUUAGGAGGAAGGCUAGAACUGUGGAGCCCAGAACUGAUCUCUGCUGUCUCUUCUCCAGGGGGAGAAUAAAUGACAGAGGUCUUCAUAAAGAAAUGACUCCCAUGAGGGCUGACAUCCCCCAGCAAUUGGAGCCGAGGAGGAAACACCCUAAAAGCCCAAAUCACGGAAGCAGGACCCACAUCAAGCUGUCGUGGAGGCACUGGGGACAUGGGGUGAGCAAGGCAGACCGAUGCCAGCUCUCAGGAAAAUGCAUGUUGGCACAGGAGUCAGACAUCUGAUCGCUAAUCACGAGCCUGAGCUGAGCCCACAUUGGAAAUAGAGAAUGGAGGGAGCCGAUGGAAGACAGGAAAGCAGCAGGUUUGGAGGAUGAGAAUAACCCAAAGAUGGCCAAGGCAAUGGUGGAGCAGGUGGUUGGCACAGGAGGUAAGAAGAAGGACAAGUUGAAUUCAGAGAAAUCA